GACGAACGCUGGCGGCGUGCCUAAUACAUGCAAGUCGAACGCAGGGGGGACGGGUGAGUAACACGUGGGUAACCUCCCAUCAGAGGGGAUAACACUUGGAAACAGGUGCUAAACCGAUACUGAUGGAUGGACCCGCGGUGCAUUAGCUAGUUGGUGAGGUAACGGCUCUCCAAGGCCAAGAUGCAUAGCCGACCGUGUACGGGCAUCGGCCACACUGGGACUGAGACACGGCCCAGCAUCCUACGGUAGGCAGCAGUAGGGAAUCUUCGGCGAGGGACGAAAGUCUGACCGAGCAAGGCCGCGUGAGUGAAGAAGGUUUUCGGAUCGUAAAACUCUGUUGUUAGAGAAGCGGUAUCUAACCAGAAAGCCACGGCUAACUACGUGCCAGCAGCCGCGGUAAUUC
rnacentral:rRNA from 1 species